AGUGAACGCUGGCGGUAGGCCUAACACAUGCAAGUCGAACGGCAGCACAGUAAGAGCUUGCUCUUACGGGUGGCGAGUGGCGGACGGGUGAGGAAUACAUCGGAAUCUGCUUUUUCGUGGGGGAUAACGUAGGGAAACUUACGCUAAUACCGCAUACGACCUACGGGUGAAAGCAGGGGAUCUUCGGACCUUGCGCGAUUGAAUGAGCCGAUGUCGGAUUAGCUAGUUGGCGGGGUAAAGGCCCACCAAGGCGACGAUCCGUAGCUGGUCUGAGAGGGUGAUCAGCCACACUGGAACUGAGACACGGUCCAGACUCCUACGGGAGGCAGCAGUGGGGAAUAUUGGACAAUGGGCGCAAGCCUGAUCCAGCCAUACCGCGUGGGUGAAGAAGGCCUUCGGGUUGUAAAGCCCUUUUGUUGGGAAAGAAAAGCAGCAGGUUAAUACCCCGCUGUUCUGACGGUACCCAAAGAAUAAGCACCGGCUAACUUCGUG
rnacentral:rRNA from 1 species